GACGAACGCUGGCGGCGUGCUUAACACAUGCAAGUCGAACGGAAAGGCCUGCUUUCCCUUGUGGAUUGCGGGUGCUCGAGUGGCGAACGGGUGAGUAACACGUGAGUGAUCUGCCCCCAACUUGGGUAUAAGCCUGGGAAACUGGGUCUAAUUCCCGAUAGGACUGCAGGGUGGUGCCUGUGGUGGAAAACGAUUUUCUAGUGGUUGGGGAUGAGCUCGCGGCCUAUCAGCUUGUUGGUGGGGUAAUGGCCUACCAAGGCGGCGACGGGUAGCCGGCCUGGGAGGGUGGACGGCAACAUUGGGACUGAGAUACGGCCCAGACUCCUACGGGAGGCAGCAGUGGGGAAUAUUGCACAAUGGGCGGAAGCCUGAUGCAGCGACGCCGCGUGGGGGAUGACGGCCUUCGGGUUGUAAACUCCUUUCGACCGCGAGGAAGCCACCUGGUUGGAAGGGUGGUGACGGUAGUGGUAGAAGAAGCACCGGCUAACUACGUG
rnacentral:rRNA from 1 species